UACGAAUGCAUUAAAAAAAACUUUAGCACAAACAAAAACUUAUGUUGGUCUUAACAGGAAGCAGCUGGAUGCAGCCAUGUAAAAUGAGGUAUGUCCUAUUCACUCUUGCCACUAAAGGGCAGUGUAUCCACCCAAAUCAAUAAAACUAAAUGCAAACACUUUCAGAAACAUUAUAACACCACUUUAAUUAAAUACUCAAAGCAGCAAAAUUUAAUUUGUAUCUUUUUACUAAUCGGAUUACUUGAAUUAAUCGAUUAACCGUGCGACACUAAUCUGUAUAUCUAAAAAAUGAAAGCAGCACAAAUAAAGCAUAAACGAUAGACACUAUUUACGAUAGCGGCACAAACAAAACUAUUUACAGCACAAACGAUUGAUAUUUUUAUUUGCGUCCGAUUGGGGGCAAACUUCACGGAGGUCUACAACCAUCCUUCUACUGUGAGUUUAUCAAAGUAGACGUCCAAUCCGUUUAAAGCGGGAGGGGUGGAAGCGAAUGAACGAAUUCAUUGAACGGAAUUCAUUCGCUGCCACCCCUCCCACUUUAAACGGAUUGGACGUCUAAAGCUUCAAAUUAUUAUUUUUUGUUUAUUAUUAAUUGCUUUCUAUUAUAAAUUCAAGGGUACAGGCUCUGGAAUUCUAUUUUUUCUUUUAAUUUCAUUUAUUUAUUUAUGGCAAAAGGUUGCUACUGGAUUUUGGUAUGUCAAAUGCAGUCUAUAAAUUAACUUGUAUAAGUUGAAAAAAAAAAUCCAAAAUGAUUAUAUUUUAUUGUCCUGGAUAAUCUAUCUUGAAACUUGUUGUUUUAAAAUUAAAAUGCUUCUGUUUGAUUUAAAAAAAAAAAAAAAAAAAAAACUUGUGGCCCCUCUGGUAAAUUGUGCUCAUGUCCCUUUAAGAUGACAUCACUUUUGUGCGAUAACAACACACCAGUGGCGGGAAGUUCAACUGUGACGAGAGCGUCGACUCUGGCCUUGAAGGAGGUAUUUCAAACAAUGCACGACAUGCAAUGCGGAUGAGGUCAGCGUUUCAAUGAGAUCCAUGCACCAAUCCUUCCCGAAUACGCCAUCGAUGGCGAGAGAGGCUGCCUGUUGCUGCUGAUGCUCUGCAAAUAGAAAGGUUUUGUAUACUGACUGUUUAAGGGACUAGGCGGGAUUUUUAGAGUUAAUUUAAAAGACUUCCCUACUCCGUGUAAGAUUGCACUUCCAAAAGAGCAUGAAAUAAACUGUGACACCUUUUUGAAACGAUAUAUCGAUUCUUGUCGGGAACAUAUAGAUAAAGUGGUAUGAAAAAGUAUCUGAACCUUUUCGAAUUUCUCACAUUUCUGCAUAAAAUCCCCA